UACGGAGGAUCCGAGCGUUAUCCGGAUUUAUUGGGUUUAAAGGGUGCGUAGGCGGCCUAUUAAGUCAGGGGUGAAAGACGGUAGCUUAACUAUCGCAGUGCCUUUGAUACUGAUAGGCUUGAAUGUACUUGAGGUAGGCGGAAUGUGACAAGUAGCGGUGAAAUGCAUAGAUAUGUCUCAGAACACCGAUUGCGAAGGCAGCUUACUAUGGUCUUAUUGACGCUGAGGCACGAAAGCGUGGGGAUCAAACAGG
rnacentral:rRNA from 1 species